UAGGGAAUCUUCCGCAAUGGGCGAAAGCCUGCCGGAGCAACGCCGCGUGAGUGAUGAAGGUCUUCGGAUCGUAAAACUCUGUUAUUAGGGAAGAACAAAUGUGUAAGUAACUAUGCACGUCUUGACGGUACCUAAUCAGAAAGCCACGGCUAACUACGUGCCAGCAGCCGCGGUAAUACGUAGGUGGCAAGCGUUAUCCGGAAUUAUUGGGCGUAAAGCGCGCGUAGCCGGUUUUUUAAGUCUGAUGUGAAAGCCCACGGCACAACCGUGGAGGGUCAUUGGAAACUGGAAAACUUGAGUGCGGAAGAGGAAAGUGGAAUUCCAUGUGUAGGGGUGAAAUGCGCAGAGAUAUGGAGGAACACCAGUGGCGAAGGCGACUUUCUGGUCUGUAACUGACGCUGAUGUGCGAAAGCGUGGGGAUCAAACAGG
rnacentral:rRNA from 1 species